rnacentral:rRNA from 1 species
UACGUAGGGGGCUAGCGUUGUCCGGAAUUAUUGGGCGUAAAGAGCUCGUAGGCGGUUCGUCACGUCGGCUGUGAAAUCCCGAGGCUCAACCUCGGGUCUGCAGUCGAUACGGGCGGACUGGAGUACUGCAGGGGAGACUGGAAUUCCUGGUGUAGCGGUGAAAUGCGCAGAUAUCAGGAGGAACACCGGUGGCGAAGGCGGAUCUCUGGGCCGUAACUGACGCUGAGGAGCGAAAGCAUGGGGAGCGAACAGG